UCGCGAAAACUUUGCAAUACACGAAAGUGUGACAGGGUCAUCCCGAGUGCCGACCGCUGAGGUUGGCUUUUACCCAGUCUAGAAAGCUGGGGGAAUAAGGAGAGGGCAAGUCUGGUGUCAGCCGCCGCGGUAAUACCAGCUCUCCGAGUGGUGUGGACGUUUAUUGGGCCUAAAGCAUCCGUAGCUGGCUGAACAAGUCCCCUGUUAAACCCACCGAUUUAAUCGUUGGUCUGCGGGGGAUACUGCUCGGCUAGGGGACGAGAGAGGCAGACGGUAUUCCCGGGGUAGGGGUGAAAUCCUAUAAUCCCGAGAAGACCACCAGUGGCGAAGGCUGUCUGCUAGAACGCGCCCGACGGUGAGGGAUGAAAGCUGGGGGAGCGAACCGGAUUAGAUACCCGGGUAGUCCCAGCUGUAAACGAUGUGCGUUAGGUGUAUCGGUGACCACGAGUCACCGAGGUGCCGAAGAGAAAUCGUGAAACGUACCGCCUGGGAAGUACGGUCGCAAGGCUGAAACUUAAAGGAAUUGGCGGGGGAGCACCGACAACG
rnacentral:rRNA from 1 species